rnacentral:lncRNA from 1 species
GCCGCCAUCCUCCUCCCUCUCCGUCGAUCUCGGAACCCUCUGCUAAGAGAUCUCUCGCAGGCAGGCGCCUCGCCUGCUUCCUCCUUCUGUCCGACAUCUUCCUCAUCUGCCAGGUCCAAACGCUAACUCAUUCGUGGUGGCCGGUCCCGAUCUGGUGGGGUGUCGAUGUUCCCUUCUUGACGUCAUGUUUUCUUGGACGCAGAGAAGUUCAACGCGCCCCGCCCUGCAGGACCUCCUCCAAUCGCCCGACGUCUUUGUCAUCUGCCAGGACCAAACCCUAACUCGUUCUUAGCUGAUCCACAAUCUGGUGCAGGUUCGAGGUUCCCUUCAUGAUCUCAUCUUUUCCUGGACCCAUACAAGUCAUACCGAGUCUAUCGAUCGCAUUCUGGACGAAUUCCUCCUAUCGCCUAAGGCCUUCGUCUCAUAGCUAGUCCAAACCCUAAAGACUUCUUGGUUGAUCCCCAUUAUGGUCUCUUGUUCUCACCAAACCGAGUCUAUCGAUCGCGCCCCGCCCCGGAGGAACUCUUCCAGUCACCCGACACCCACGUCAUCUUCCACGUUUCCCUCUCGAUUUCACCUUUCUUCGACGCAGACAAUCUGUCUGUUGAUGGAGCUCUGAGGAAAUUGCCCGAGCAGAGUGAGUCCCGAGAUCCUGUUGUUGUUAACCCUAUUUGUGUGUCAGACCAGGAAAUUUAUUCUGGAUGAACAAAUGCGAUUUAAUUUCAAUACGAGAUAAACACAUGAUCUUGAUCAAGGUUGGAGCGGAACAAGAGGUGGCAUCACGGUUGACCAGAGAUCGACAUAGUGUCGGCAAUUCACAUUUCGCUUUUCACAUCGAUGACGGGAAUCAUGCUGGCACACUUAUUUCGGUAAUACAUCCAAUAUCCUUCCCAGUUUACUUUUUCUGCGCUUAUGUUAUGUGACAUUUGUCCCUCCAUACAUUGUUUGUUGUCUCCUUUGGUCAUUAGAGAUAAGGGCGCUUAUGUUAUGUUCGCGCCCUUAUUGUCGGAGUGACCAUUCCGGGGAAUGUACAUUUGUACCUCUCCAUGUUGAUCAUGACGAUGUGUGCACCAUCUGUAGAGGGAUUAGAUUUAUCAUGAGAAGCAAAUGUUUGACAAAACAUUUAGGAGUUAUAUUUCUUUCAAGUGUGUUUUGGAAGAUCUGGAAACGAACACAUUUGGAUGUAAAAUCACGAUUCAUCUAAUUAAUAAAAUAAGUUAGCGGAAUCUUUAAGAUACAUGAUAUCCUAUCCGGACCUCAUUUUGUUUGCACACCGAUACUUCCAUAAAAUAUCCUGCUAUGUUUAUUUAAAUUAGGUUUCUGUAGUGUGAUCAAGGCGUAGUGAUGCAGCCAUCGUUGUUGGUUCUAGUUGAUGUAUUUGGUUCAGUUUAGUUCGUUGAGAGGCCAAUUCUUGAACCGAAAUUACUCCUUUUGGAUUAAUAUUAAACAAUCUUUUGGUGCUGUACCGGUUCAAUUGUUCGGCGAAGUUAGUGUCGGACUGAAACUUUAAAUUAUACUUCAGGUUUUCAUUUAUUAAAACUGAGAUCAAAUUGAUAGAGAUUAAAAACUAACAUUGAAGUCAUUUUAUGAGGCAAUGAUAAUGAAAUCUUGGAAUGGUUGUCAGCUAUUGAAUCAUUCUUAUUAUAAUUAAAAAGAAGAAGGCAGCAUUCGAAAUCAGGAUCUGUCUAUCAAGAUCUUUAUUAACUAGAUUAGCUGACAAUUAUUAGAUUCAAAUAUAUGCAAGAGAUGACUUUAACUGUAUACGAUGUUUCAUUAUAAUUUAAAACACCUUUUACAUGUGCCUCAAUGAUAGUAUCUUCUCUCUCUCUUUUUUUCAAAGAAUGAUUUUUUUAAAAAAAUUCAUGUUUUAGAUUUUUUUAAAAGGUACUUUUUUUUUUGUUUUCCAAGCAAUAUCUCUAAUUUAACAUACCCCUCAAAAGUUUCUUUGCUAAAUUAUUUCCUUCAUUUUUUUUUUACCAGUUUUCAAUUGUUACAUUGUUUUCAUUUAACUCAUUUAUAAUUUUUUUAAUAGUAUUUAUAAUAUUUUAUUGAUAUACUGACAAAUACUAUAAACACUAUAAAAAAAACCUUGUAAAUGACAUCAUAUCUGCCUUGUUAAAUGUUAUUGCUUACAAUAUCAUAUUUUUAGACUUAUAGUAAGUUUGAUUGAGAUAAUUCGGCUAUUUUAUUACAUUAAAAGUACUAUUUGAAAUCAUCCUUUUUUACAUACAACUAUUUUUAUGUUGAGCAUAAAUAAGAGGCAGCAAUGAUUUUUAAUUUUCUUUUUUUUAUUUACAAAGAUCUUUUAGUUUCAUUCGUAUUGAUCAAAGAAAGAGGAAUAUUUUAGAGUUUAGCAUGAUUAAUGUCUCGUUCUGAAAUUAAUAUUUUCAUUCUUAUACGGUGAUUAGCCAGUUGCACCAGUAUGUUCAAUUAUUUUCUCUUAGAGUGGUUCAUUGUAAUGGUGUUUCAAGGUUGUUUUUUUUUUUAAAGAUUUUUUUUUCCACCAUUUAUGUUUACCUUAUUGAGAACUCAAGAGUUGCAUGCGUGUAAAAAAUAAAAUGGCCUAUGAAAGAACAUAUUCGAAUGUCUACAUUGGAUUGUGGUGAUAUGGUUUGGGAUGUUAAACGGCUAUAGUGAUUGGCCUCGAGAAACUUGCCACUUUUGUGUUUCUAAAGGUUUCUAGUUGAAUUAAUAUGUAUAGACAGACGAGCCUUGCUUUGAAUAAACGGCCAUGGUGUGGUCAUUUGAACAUUCAUAAAUGAGUUAGUGACGAAAGCCACGGGGUUGAGUAGGUUAUGAUGUGAUUUUCAAUUAAAACUCAGCAAAUCAAAUUCAUACGAAACCCAAAGGAGUACGGGCAUUGCUUAAAAAGAUAAGAAAAAAUUUUCCGAAUCGAAGGCCUACUAUGGUUAGGGUGCAGUCUUUUUGGUGCGUCUGGUAGUUCACUGUUACGACGACACGCGCGCACGGAGGAAAAUGGGUGUUCCUGCACCGGACGUAUAGGACUGACAGCGCCGUUUCGGGCGAUGACGACGCCUGGAUUCGUGCGUUCCCAAACUGUAGCGCUGUGCAUCGGGCCUCGAGCUACCGGCCACCGCCUUCUCUGCCAAGAAAGAUAUCCGUUGUUGCUCGUUGGUACGCUGUCCAAAUCCAGAAGGACGGCGACCGAUAUAUUUAUCUACAGCAAAAUCACUGUGACAUGUUCUCUUUUUUUUCCUCUUCUUGUUCAAUGAAUGUAAACUAGCCUCUUCAGUAGUUGUUGUUGUCUGUGGUUCUCUUUUCGGUCGUAAAGCUUCGAUUAAAAAUAUCUGAUUCAUGUGCUAAGAGCCAGCGUACUUCAGUUGGACUGAAGUCCAAUGUCAUGUCACAAACUUGAUGACCGAGGCUCGUGAGCAUGGACGUCCCACCGCAACGAAGUCUAUGAUAGAUCAUACCAAUUGUAGCAAUUUCUGGGUAUGAUUUAGUCAGCCUAAGUAGAAGCGUCUGAUAACAACGUUUAUAGAUAGCAGCAGAUGAAAUUUCCGGCCUAUGAAUCCCCCCAUUCCACUACAAGUAUCACACGACUAGCUGACAACCAUCUUUUUGUAUUUCUUCGAGUUUUGAAGCAAAUUGUGCUCUUUUACAGACAAUAAUGAGUUGCUUUAUUGUCAAACAAGACUGAUAAAGCUGCGAACCAUUACACAUCCCGCUAGGCAGUUUCUCCUGCUUCUUCAUUUUGCCUUGAUCUGUGGAGGCGCUGAAAUGACAAAUUUUGCCUUGAAGAACUUGAUGGGUUGGGAAAAGGGCUGUUGGGAGUUGGUAGAAUUCGCCGACCAUUGCUGAUGGACUGAUGGUAUGUAUCCUAAUGAUCUAUGUCUUCUUUAUACGUGCUAUUAUUUCUGGAUCGUGCGUAUUUUUCUUUCUGUUUUCAGAAAACAAAACUAGAUUAAGAUUUGCAUUCUCGUAGAAACUGCAGGUUUUUAUUCUUCUCUUUUCCAUGGCUUAAGACAGUGCUCAGAUAUUUUUUACUACAUAACUACUCGAAUCUUCUGCUAUCUUCCUUUUUCCGUGAUAGUUCUUUUCUCUCUUUGCUUGUUUACAUGGAUGGGAUAAUUCUCUUUAUUGCUCACUACGAAAUUGGUCCGGUAGGGUCAUCCAAAACAGAUUGAAAAGUUUUUCAAAUCACCUCAAACUCUAAUCUCAGUCUGGGGGCAUUAUAUUGACGGUUCUUUAUUGAAUCCACAUUGGUGGUUACAUGAAGAGCAAGUGAUGAUUUAGAUGACUGAUGAUCAAUAUAGAAUUAGGUCAUCUUAGCAAAGCAAAAAAGACAUCAGCUUUUUUAUAUGGUGCAUGGACCCGCGCCACACUGUAUGUUAAGGAAAUUUGGAUUUGGGUGAUACUAAAAACUCAAUGCUCUUUUAUGCCUCCCAUUGAAAAUGGACCAAAUGGAAGCAUGUCACUGUCUUCAUAAAAUGGACCAGAGUGAUAUGCUUUUUUCUUAGUUAAAGAACUAACUAUUUGGGCAGCCUAAUGAAGACACUCUGUUAAAUAUUAGAAGCAAAGGAGCUAAAGCUCAGAUUUAAAUAGUUGCAUCCAAGGGGAACAGACACAUGACCGAUUUUGUUCGGACGAAAUGAUAGAUGUCAUAACGCUGCUCAGGAUACCAUUUCUAGCUAGAAGUGCUAUUAAUAGGAGAAGCUUUUUCCUCCACGGCCUGAAAUUCUAAUAAAAAAAAAACAUAUUAUAUUACAUUUAGAGCAAACUAGAAAUCUCUUUUUACCUCACCGGAUUAGCUAUCAGUGUAAAGGAAUUCGAGUUGUUGCUAAAAUAUUUGCAUGAGGAAAUUCUAGCACUUGUACCAUGCACGUUUUUGUGAACAUAUACUAGUCAAAUUUCAAGCUUCUUAGAAGAAGCUUGUAAAAUUGGGUUUCAGCCACAUUAUGGAAAUACAAUAGCAAAUGAGAAAGAAUUUUCAAGUUCCUAAAUGGUGGACGGUGACAUAAAUUACAUCUUUUUAUCAUAAGAACUAUGACAUGAUGUGAGAAUCGCAUGUUUGACUUUUUUUUUUUCUGUCACAUAAAAAAAGAAAUUGAAGUUGAUGUUGGUGUUGGUGUACAAAAAGGAACAAAGUUGGAUGGAAGACUAGGUGUAAAUUACAUACUUCCCGUAUCUACCGUUUAAAGAUAUGUUGUUGGCAUUGUGUAAAACGUAGUUUUGACAAAGAGAAGAUGAGAUAUUACUAGUAGUCAUCAACUCCUGGUGUUAGCUAGAGCAGUUAAUGUCCAUGCUUAACCAUCCUCAUAGCCUCCAACAGCUAUGACCAAAACAUCUUGUGAAAAGAGGUUGCAGUAACAAUAUGCAACUUGAAAAAUAUGAAAAGGAAAAGGUAACAGAAGUAUGGUCUAAAAGGUCGGAGACUAAACUGUGGAUGAAUGUCUCUUGUCUAUGCAAAUAAAUUAACGAUUCUAAAUCCACAACAUUUACUUUCUUUCAACUGCAAUUUGAUGUUCCCACAUGAGUUGCAUUAAUUUGAUGCUAUAAAAUGGGAUAGCUGAAAACCAAAGCAUACUUGUAUGCAAGUUCUGGACACUUAUUCCUGCCCCUUAUAUGUAAAAACUUCAAAACAGCAUCAUGAUGUUUCUUUCGAGUAAAUUAUGAGACAUUGACAUUGCGUCUUACCAUAGGAAAUCAUAUAUUGUGCGUGUCUGGGAUAUUCAUCGACAAAGUCAAAAGUCUAGCUUAGCUGUCGUAGUUCAUGUGUGAUACAAAUUGAUGAUGCACAAAUAAAAACCUGCACAACCCAGUCCUGCUAGCAGAUGAAGAUCGAGGCAGUAUGUCUCGUAGGAAAUAAAUCUUAUGAAAGGCUUGGACAAGAGUAAAAUAUUAAGAGGCAUGCAUAUGAUGAAGAAGAAAAUAUGAAGGCACAUGUUAGAAAAUUUUCGUAGAUAAAGAUUUAGAUGAUAGAAGAGAAAGAUUUAAAUGGUAGAAGAGUGAGUUGCAUAAAAAUUGAGCCUCCAGAAAUAAUGAAUCUAAGUUUAAAACCUGUUCAUAUAAUGUACAAGAUUAGAAACUAAUUUCUCACACAAGCCUGAUCAUACAAGUUAUACUCCAACUUCUCAUGACCAUUGUUUUGUAAAUGUAUCAAUAUCAGGACAUAGACAAACUGGCAAUCACCUAAAGAAACACAUUUGAGAUGGUCCAGAAAAACAACAACUGUAGACUUGGUACUUUAUUCUUAUAAUCCUACAGUAUCAAAGAUAUCUUAUGUUUCUUCUUCAAGAUUUACUUCGAAUAUAUGUAUGUUUACGUAUAUUUCUCGUUAGUAUCUUAAAUUCCUGGCUUGAAAAUCACCACCUCGAUUUUCACCUCGAGGUCUGAUACACAAGUUUUAGAUGCCUCAUCUUCAAGAAAGCAGCUUGUCCCUGCAGAAUUUGGAGUUGGAAAGUGGCAACAUGAAUUCCCUAGUAAGGUAUGCUGUACCUUUCACCCUUAAGGUACCAAAAAGUUAAUUUGAAGUAUACUAUGGAUGUAGAAUGUUUAUGUGCUUGUGGUGUUUAGGUGCAGAGUCGAGAGUAGUUGGUUUUCGCAGUUGGUUUCAUAUAAUUCGCGCUUUCUCCAUCUGCCUCACAUUCUCCCAUGUUCUUUUAUUAUUUCAUCAUCAAGUUUAUUACAUAUUUUGGUAAUGAUUUCCAAAUAAAUUCUCUUUAACUUUGUCAUAUCUGUUUUUAUUUCAUUAGGCAAGCCUAGGGACAAUAUCCUCGAUUAAGAUGCCACCCAAACUAGAGAGUAGUUGACGGAAACCUCAACCACAAAGUCGUCAGGAGAUAUUGAGGUAAGAAUAAAUGAUUUCUGUCAUAUCUCCUCUUUUUGAAGUAUCUUACACAGUUAAUUAUCACACCAGAAAAGAUAACUAUCAAAUUGGAGCACACGACUUGUGAUAUAUCCACACACGGUGACAUGAAUUUGGUGGCAGACGUUAGGUGCUAUAUUGCAAAGCAAAUUAAAGAAAUUUGAAUCAGUAAGAACCAACUUCCAUAUCUGUUAACUAUGAUUGAGUGAGUUACAAAAGUCCUAGUAGUAGUCACCCAAAAAAAAAAAAAGAUAUGAUUGAAGAUACAGAAAAAUAAGCCUCCAUCUUUUGGAUUGACAUUGGAAACGUGAUCGAGUAUAUGGUCUUCUUUUCUGUUCUGGGAAUGGUGGCUGAACGAAUGAUUGGUGGUCAUACAUACAAUUGGAGACACAGUAUUGUGCUAGAGAAACAAAGGACAUAAGAAACCGAUAUCGUGAUUUUAACAGCAUUUGGAUUCAUGUGUUUGCCCACUAACAGAAUGAUGGUUGUUGUUAGAUCAAAGAUAUCUCACUGUGAGAGUUCAGAAAGAAUGAGAGGUUCCAAGUAAAUAAUCCAGGCCUAUUCACGGUGGUAUGAGACCGGAUGAUAUAACAAAAAGACAUGGUGCUUCAUUCUUAAUGAUAGUGAAAGACCACUAAUAGCUUGCUAAUUACAGACUAUUAUGAUUUUUUUUUUUAUUUUUGCCAUAUGCUUAGAAGCACAAUUUACCAAAAAAAGUCUUAAGCAAAGGUAACCUACGAGAGUGUCCGGCAAAAGAAAAAGAAAGGGGAUAAUUCAGCAAGCAAAGAUCGAGUCAUAUGGAAGCCGUUCAUUCUACUAGUCAUAUGUAGUUGAAGGCAUGAGUGUGUGGUUACAGGGAGAUAACUGAAUAUUAGUUGUAGUAGAAACAUGUCCCUACUAUAGAAAAGCAGUUCGAAAUUAACGAAAAAAGGAACAGCACACAGAUCAAAGUAGCAAAGAAGACGAAACAGAACUACAAUGAUAAUUAAGGGGUUUGCGUUAUUACAGAUUCGGAUAGCUGUCCGAGGCCACCAGCGAUGUCGAGUACAAGGAAAGUGCGUCCACGUCCCACUGUUCUUCGAAGAUGCCACCUGCGUGAUUGAU